GUAGGUGGCAAGCGUUGUCCGGGAAUUAUUGGGGCGUAAAGCGCGCGCAGGCGGUUCUUUAAGUCUGAUGUGAAAGCCCACGGGCUCAACCGUGGAGGGUCAUUGGAAACCGGAGAACUUGAGUACAGAAGAGGAAAGCGGAAUUCCACGUGUAGCGGUGAAAUGCGUAGAGAUGUGGAGGAAGACCAGUGGCGAAGGCGGCUUUCUGGUCUGUAACUGACGCUGAGGCGCGAAAGCGUGGGGAGCAAACAGGAUUAGAUACCCUGGUAGUCCACGCCGUAAACGAUGAGUGCUAAGUGUUAGGGGGUUUCCGCCCCUUAGUGCUGCAGCUAACGCAUUAAGCACUCCGCCUGGGGAGUACGGCCGCAAAGGCUGA
rnacentral:rRNA from 1 species